CAUUAGAUGGCUGAAAGUAAGCAAUGGUCUCUUAAACCAAACUAUAGUAAGUAAUGACUACUUCUAAUGA
rnacentral:tRNA from 1 species